rnacentral:rRNA from 1 species
CAGUCGCCGCGGGAAUACGAAGGGGGCUAGCGUUGCUCGGAAUUACUGGGCGUAAAGGGAGCGUAGGCGGACAUUUAAGUCAGGGGUGAAAUCCCAGAGCUCAACUCUGGAACUGCCUUUGAUACUGGGUGUCUUGAGUGUGAUAGAGGUAUGUGGAACUCCGAGUGUAGAGGUGAAAUUCGUAGAUAUUCGGAAGAACACCAGUGGCGAAGGCGACAUACUGGAUCAUUACUGACGCUGAGGCUCGAAAGCGUGGGGAGCAAACAGGAUUAGAGACCCGCGUAGUCCCUGUCUCUUAUAC